GUAGUCCUUUAGAGCCUCUGGACAGAAGGAGCAGAACAGGCUUUGCUUCAUUCCUGAGGUCUACCAGAGCCUCUCACUUAAUGGAAAGAAGAAGCUAAUCUGGAGGAAGAGAACACUGACAAACACCAUUGCAGAGGGAGCCCAUGACAGUACUUCUGCCCCUCCCACCGUCUGAUGAAUACAUGUAAAGCUUAUUGAGCCUCAGAACUCUAACUACAGGGUUUCAAUAGCACAGAAACUCUGAGAAGAAAAAGAAUGUCAAAGUUCCUCCCUAAGGAGACUGAUUAGAUGCAAGUGUGUCCGGAAUUGGUGGGUUCUUGGUCUGACUUCAAGAAUGAAGCCGCGGACCCUCACGGUGAGUAUUACAGUUCUUGAAGACUGCGUGUCCAGAGUUUGUUCCUUCUGAUGUUCAGAUGUGUUUGGAGUUUUUUCCUUCUGGUGGGUUCGUGGUCUCGCUAGCUCAGGAGUGAAGCUGCAUACCUUCGCGGUGAGUGUUACAGCUCAUAAAAGCAGUGUGGACCCAAAGAGUGAGCAGUAACAAAAUUUAUUGCAAAGAGCAAAAGAACAAAGCUUCCACAGUGUGGAAGGUGACCCCAGUGGGUUGCCACUGCUGGCUCAGGCAGCCUGCUUUUAUUCUCUUAUCUGGCCCCACCCACAUCCUGCUGAUUGGUAGAGCCCAGUGGUCUGUUUUGACAGGGCGCUGAUUGGUGCAUUUACAAUCCCUGAGCUAGAUACAAAGCUUCUCCACGUCCCCAUCAGAUUAGUUAGAUACAGUGUGUCCAUACAAAGGUUCUCCAAGGCCCCACCAGAGCAGCUAGAUACAGAAUAUCUAUUGGUGCACUCACAAACCCUGAGCUAGACACAGGGUGCUGAUUGGUGUGUUUACCUUGAGCUAGAUACAGAGUGCCGAUUGGUGUAUUUACAAUCCCUGAGCUAGACAUAAAGGUUCUCCAAGUCCCCACCAGACUUAGGAGCCCAGCUGGCUUCACCUAGUGGAUCCCACACAGGGGCUGCAGGUGGAGUUGCCUGCCAGUCCUGCGCCAUGCACCCGCACUCCUCAGCCCUUGGGUGGUCGAUGGGACUGGGCGCCCUGGAGCAGGGGGUGGCACUCGUUGGGGAGGCUCCAGCCGCACAGGAGCCCAUGGAGGCGGGGGAAGGCUCACGCAUGGCGGGCUGCAGGUCCCGAGGCCUGCCCCGCAGGAAGGCAGCUAAGGCCCGGCAAGAAAUCGAGCGCAGUGCCGGUGGGCUGGCACUGCUGGGGGACCCAGUACACCCUCCGCAGCCGCUAGCCCGGGUGCUAAGCCCCUCGUUGCCCGGGCCGGCAGGGCAGGCCGCCUGCUCCCAGUGCGGGGCCCGCCAAGCCCACGCCCACCCGGAACUCCAGCUGGCCCGCAAGCGCCGCGCGCAGACCCGGUUCCCACUCGCGCCUCUCCCUCCACACCUCCCUGCAAGCUGAGGGAGCCGGCUCUGGCCUUGGCCAGCCCAGAAAGGGGCUCCCACAGUGCAGCGGUGGGCUGAAGGGCUCCUCAAGUGCCGCCAAAGUGGGAGCCUAGGCAGAGGAGGCACCGAGAGCGAGGGAGGGCUGUGAGGACUGCCAGCACGCUGUCACCUCUCACAAGUAGACCAUUCCUAUAGUCCACUAAUUUGUCUUUUUUGUUUUAGCCUGAUUUCUGUUAAAAGAUGUUUUCUUUUUUUAAAAAAAAUGAGAGUUUAUGGACAUAUAAAAUGAACACAUGCCGAAGAUUUAUUUAGUUAAUUAAGGAGAGAAUCAGCAAGAUGGUGUAACCAACCCAAAGGAGAAUUUAAAAACACACAUAAAUACAAGUGAUCAGAAAAACUUGCAAUGAAUUUACAAAGAGAUGAAAACAAGUCAACAUCCACAACAGAAUCAUCAAAUACAUGUCUAUUUGAGACAAUUAAUUUGCAUUUCUAUGGGCAAAAUCACUUGCAUGAUUUUCAGCUCAAUAUAAUUUCCAUAAUAAAUUAUAUUAACCUCAAAGACGAUACAAAGCUAAGAAAACUCAGAAGAGGACACUAGAUGAGUAAGCAUUUUUUUAUUUUAAAAUCUUUCAUAAUUUUUCCUCUAAGAUUCCAUCUACAGUGACUAUUUGACCAGUUUAGAAUACAAAUAAAUAUGCUCCACUGUAUUUAUUAUAACCUCUCAGCUUGGAUUUUUGAGGAAAAGAAAAACUUCAAUUGUCUGAGAUAGGUAUGAUAAAAAUGUGUGGCAGGGGGCCCUGGCUCACGUCUGUAAAUCCAGCACUUUGGGAGGCCGAGGCGGGCGGAUCAUCUGAGGUCAGGAGUUCAAGACCAGCCUGGCCAACAUGGUGAAACCCUGCCUCUACUAAAAAUAUAAAAAAAUUAGCCAGGUGUGGUGACAUGUGCCUGUAAUCCCAGCUACAUAGGAGGCUGAGGCAGGAGAAUCACUUGAACCCAGGAGGUGGAGGUCGCAGUGGGAUGAGAUAGCACCACUGCACUCCAGCCUGGGCAACAAAGCGACACUCCAUCUCAAAAAAGAAAAAAAAAAAAUCUGUGGGCAGGUAGAAGGAGUUACCAAAAGCUAAAAUGGAACAUACACCCUAGGAUUGUUUAAUUCUAAUCACAAUUGAUGUCAACAUAGACAUGUAAACAAGUGCUUUUUAAAAAGCUUCUCAUUAAUAAAAUUAGUAUAAAGAAAGAAAGAAGGUCACCAUCUAGGUUGUGACACCUGAAACUCAAAAAAAAAAAAAAAAAACCAAAAAGGUCUUCAUAUGGUCUUGUUUGGGGUUAAAGAUUAAAAUAAUAAGGGGAUUGAGGACCAUAAGUUUUGAAAAACUUCAAGUGGCCAGGCGUAGUGGCUCACGCAUGUAAUCCCAGCACUUGGGAGGCUGAGGCAGGCAGAUCACGAAGUCAGGAGAUCAAGACCAUCCUGGCUAACAUGGUGAAACCCCAUCUCUACUAAACAUACAAAAAAUUAGCAGAGGGUGGUGUUGUGUGCCUGUAGUCCCAGCUACUUGGGAGGUUGAGGCAGGAGAAUCGCUUGAACCUGGGAGGUGGAGGUUGCAGUGAGCUGAGAUCACGCCAUUGCACUCCAGCCUGGGUGACAGAGUGAGACUCUGUCUCAAAAAAAAAAAAAAAAAAAAAAGAAGAAGAAAAGGAAAACUGCAAGUGAGAUGGGGAAGAAACUGUUCCACCUUUUUCUUCUUAUUGCUCCUUCAAUUAAAAUUAUUUUAGGUCAGUCGCGGAGGCUCAUGCCUGUAAUUUCAGCACUUUGGGAGGCCGAGGUGGGUGGAUCACCUGAAGUCAGGAGUUCAAGACCAGCCUGGCCAACAUGGUGAAACCUCAUCUCUACUAAAAAUACAAAAAAUUAGCCAGGAGUGGUGGCCGGCACCUGUAAUCCCAGCUACUUGGGAGGCUGAGGCAGGAGAAUUGCUUGAACCCUGGAGGUGGCGGUUGCAGUGAGCAAAGAUGGUGCCAUUGCACUCCAGCCUGGGAAGUAAGAGCAAAACUCCACCUAAACAAAAAGAAAAAAAAAAUUUUUAAACAUCUGUCCAGUUGAAAUGGUAAAGCUGUUGAAGGGAUUCUACUAUGGUCUAAAAGUUUGUGCUGCACCCUUUCCCCACAAAAUUUAUACAUUUAAACCUCAUCACCAUUGCAAUAGUAUUAUGAGGUGGAGCCUUUGGGAAGUGGCUAGGUCAUGAGGCUAGAGCCCUCAUGAACGGAUUAGUGCCCUUAUAAAAUAGACCCAAGAGAGACCUUCUCAUCCCUUUCUCCAUGUGAAGACACAGCUAGAAGGCACCAUCUAUGAAUCAGAAAGUGGGCCUUUACCAGAUGCCGAAUCUGCUGGCACCUUGUUUUGUACUCCCCAGCGUCCAGAUAUUUGAGCAGUAAAUUUCUGUUGUUUAUAAGUUAUCUAGUUUCUGAUAUUUUGUUAUAACAGCCCAAAUGGACUGAGAUAGGUUUAGAAUAUGCUACUCCAAAAUGUACCACUGUGGCAUAAGAAUCCUUUUAAGCUGAAGGUAAUUGAGAAAAAGCAGACACAGGAUGAGCUCUCUGCCCUCCUCCUAGCUGCCCAAAAGCUAAACACAAAUUCCUCUUGUGAUGGUGACCCCCUCCCCUUGACUCAUACUUCUCCGUAUUACCAGAAAGGGAAUAACAACCUAUCACCACAGACAAUAUGGCAUUGAGAAAGAGCCUACACAAACCUUACUAAUUAGCCCUUAUCCUCCAUUAGUUUCCACCACAUUUUUACUUUCCUACAGUUUGCUACCCUUAGAAGCCUGAAACUCUUUUUUGUCACUUUUUAAAAAUCUAUUGUUCUUUUGUUAAGAUGUUAUGUAAGCCAAUGUUCUAACCACCCUUUUGAGUUAGUUAUCAAUAGGUUUCUCCCAUGUUAAUGCACAUAUUAAUAAAUGUGUUUGUUUUUCUCUUAUUAAUCUGUCUUUUGUCAGUCUAAUUUUCAGGGCCCUAGCUGGAGAAUCUAGGAGGGUAGAAAAAAGGUUUUUUUUCCACUAUGCCUUCAUUCAUUUGAGCAUUCUCAGGGAUAACUGAGAAUAACUCUCUAGGUAAUGUUAGGGGAAGAUUCAGACGGAGACUUGGGAGAGUGUUAGGAACUCAGUGAAAAGAAAUGUCUCAAAUUCCUUGAUAUUUUUUCCUAUAAAUUUAGUUACACCCUCUAAGAUAAAUCUCCCUUAUUUAAUCUCUCACUCAGGGUCUCAGCCUUCAAUCUAUAAGAGGAGGCCCUUUUGCGGUAUCUCUUACAUGAAACUGCUUCUUACAUAAAAAAUGACAGAUUCUUCCUUUGAUUCUAAACAAGUACACAUUACCUUUGUGGAGAUAGCAUCAGGAAAUUAUAUUUUUCAAUUUUUAUUUUAUACUAACAGAAUGUGUUAAUUUUGUAAUCAAACUAUAAUAACAAAAGAAGCUAUAGAAGAAAAUCUUGAUCUUGAAAUAAAGAGAAACAUAAUGAAACUAAUUUUAUAAGUAUGGAGACUGGCAAACACAAAAAUUAAAAAUUUCUCUUGAAAUUGCUU
rnacentral:lncRNA from 1 species